rnacentral:rRNA from 1 species
AUUGAACGCUGGCGGCAGGCCUAACACAUGCAAGUCGAGCGGUAGAGAGAAGCUUGCUUCUCUUGAGAGCGGCGGACGGGUGAGUAAUGCCUAGGAAUCUGCCGGGUAGUGGGGGAUAACGUUCGGAAACGGACGCUAAUACCGCAUACGUCCUACGGGAGAAAGCAGGGGACCUUCGGGCCUUGCGCUAUCAGAUGAGCCUAGGUCGGAUUAGCUAGUUGGUGAGGUAAUGGCUCACCAAGGCGACGAUCCGUAACUGGUCUGAGAGGAUGAUCAGUCACACUGGAACUGAGACACAGUCCAGACUCCUACGGGAGGCAGAAGUGGGGAAUAUUGGACAAUGGGCGAAAGCCUGAUCCAGCCAUGCCGCGUGUGUGAAGAAGGUCUUCUGAUUGUAAAGCACUUUAAGUUGGGAGGAAGGGUUGUAGAUUAAUACUCUGCAAUUUUGACGUUACCGACAGAAUAAGCACCGGCUAACUCUGUGCCAGCCGCCGCCGUAA